rnacentral:rRNA from 1 species
GACGAACGCUGGCGGCGUGCCUAAUACAUGCAAGUCGAACGCAGUGGGGACGGGUGAGUAACACGUGGGUAACCUCCCAUCAGAGGGGAUAACACUUGGAAACAGGUGCUAAACCGAUACUGAUGGAUGGCCCCGCGGGGAAUGAGCUAGUUGGUGAGGUAACGGCUCACCAAGGCCAAGAUGCAUAGCGGAUCUUGAAGGCGGAGCUGCCACACGGGAACGGAGACACGGCCCAGACUCCUACGGGAGGCAGCAGUAGGGAAUCUUCGGCAAUGGACGAAAGUCUGACCGAGCAACGCCGCGUGAGUGAAGAAGGUUUUCGGAUCGUAAAACUCUGUUGUUAGAGAAGCGGUAUCUAACCAGAAAGCCACGGCUAACUACGUGCCAGCAGCCGCGGUAAUUC